UUGAGGAGGGUGACGGGCGGUGUGUGCGCAUUUUAGAGCUUAUUUCAUAAUCUUCUUCUUUAUCGAGAUAUUACUAUCGAAUCCUUUUUCUCUUAUUUUUUCAAUUUAAGUUCCUCUGUUAAAAAGUAAAGUAGCUAAUCUAUCCCCAAUAUAUAAGCUGCACCUUGAUCUGAUGUUAAGAUAUUAUAUCUUAGAGCUAACUUUCUUUAGAAGUGAGCUAUCUACGAUGGUAUACAAACUGUUUUCUAAAAUUGGUAAGGUUUCUUGUGGAUUAUCUAUUUGAUGACAAGCUCCUCCGAAAAGGUCUAAAAAACCGCCAAGUUCUUUAAGUUUUAACUUUAUUAAAAUAAAAGUUAUACUACUCUGGUGUUAAGUUUAUUAAAAGGUAUAGUGGGGUAUCUAAUCCCAGA
rnacentral:rRNA from 1 species